rnacentral:tRNA from 1 species
AAUUAAGUAGGUUAAUAAUAAACCAUUAAGUUGUGGUCUUAAAAAUAUAUGUAUUAUCUUGAUUC